GACGAACGCUGGCGGCGUGCCUAAUACAUGCAAGUCGAACGAGUGGCGUACGGGUGAGUAACACGUGGGAACCUACCCAUCAGAGGGGGAUAACACGUGGAAACAGGUGCUAAUACCGCAUACUGAUGGAUGGACUCGCUGUGCAUUAGCUAGUUGGUGAGGUAACGGCUUACCAAGGCAACGAUCCGUAGCCGAGCUGAGAGGAUGACCAGCCACACUGGAACUGAGACACGGUCCAGACUCCUACGGGAGGCAGCAGUGGGGAAUAUUGCACAAUGGGCGCAAGCCUGAUGCAGCCAUGCCGCGUGUAUGAAGAAGGCCUUCGGGUUGUAAAGUACUUUCAGCGAGGAGGCGGUACUCGCAGAAGAAGCACCGGCUAACUCCGUGCCAGCAGCCGCGGUAAUAC
rnacentral:rRNA from 1 species